rnacentral:lncRNA from 1 species
CGAGGCCGGGGUGGGCGUGAUGGCGACCAAGGUGGGGAUGAUGACCUACUUCGACCCGGAGACGGGGAAGCCGGUGCCGGUGACGGUAGUCGGGUUCCGGGAUGGCGGGAACGUGGUGACGCAGGUGAAGACGGCGGCCACGGACGGGUACGACGCCGUGCAGGUCGGGUACCACGGCGUGCGCGACGACAAGCUCACGCGCCCGGAGCUGGGCCACCUGGGCAAGGCCGGCGCGCCGCCGCUGCGCCACCUGCAGGAGUUCAGGCUCACCACCGUCGACGCGUUCGAGCCCGGACAGGAGCUCGACUUCGCCGAGCUCUUCAAGGAGGGCGACCUCGUCGACGUCUCCGGCAACUCCAUCGGCAAGGGGUUCCAAGGUACAGCAAUUUUACACCUCCAAUUGCAUUGCCAACGGCAACGAUUACCCACAUUUGUGCUAAUUAUCCGCAAACCUCCGGCUGUAUCAUUCCAUUUCCUAGAGAAUGAAAGUAGCAGCAUCAACGUGCUUGUUGCAAUUCUUGAUCUUGCAACUUCACUGCCAAUGCCAUUGGUUUGGCAUGCUUACCAGCACUGUAAUUAGCUGAAAAUUGGAUGCUUUGCAGUUCUUGGCAAGGCUAGGUUCUAGUUCCAGGCGCUUGCAUUUGCAAUUGCAAUGCCACUCUUUGUAAGGCCUAUGCUUGCAUACCGCGUUCUUGAUCGGUUCGCGGUUACUUGUGACGUUGCGCAGGUGGUAUCAAGAGGCACAACUUCAAGCGUGGGUUGAUGACUCACGGUUCCAAGAGCCACAGGCAGCUGGGUUCCAUUGGUGCUGGAACAACGCCGGGGCGCGUGUACAAGGGGAAGAAGAUGCCCGGGAGGAUGGGAGGAACCAAGACCAAGAUCAGGAAGCUCAAGAUCGUCAAGAUUGACAACGACCUCCGGGUCGUCAUGAUCAAGGGCGCUGUGCCAGGCAAGCCCGGCAACCUCCUCCGCAUCGCGCCUGCCAAGAUUGUUGGCAAGAACAUCCCCAAGAACUAGAAUUGUUUUCACUGAUUUUUUAGUGUUUCCCUACCCUGCUGCAA